CUGAGCUGUUGGCUUUAAUUCUGCAUUUCUUGCUCCUGAGGCUUUGAAAAACAAAGCACGCUUGGGGCGGGCUCACUUGGGGAAAAGACGGGAGCUCUGGUCUUAUCCUGAAGCAUCACAGUCUGCUCAGAGGAGAGUUAUGGACUCUUCCAAUGCUGGCUGGUCUUGAACUCCUGACCUCAUGAUCUGCCUGCCUCGACCUCCCAAAGUGCUGGGAUUACAGGUGUUAGUCACCAUGCCUGGCCGAGAAAAGAAGAUUUAAGAAAGGAAGCUAGAAGUUGUUCAUCGAAGGGAAGAGAAUCAGGAAAUGGUAAAAGUCACAGAUAUUAAGCAGAAAGUACUCAUUCCCUAAAGCCAGGAUUGAACCCUGGCCACCACUGUAAAAUGGUGGAGACCAAAAGAAAGGACUGCCACGUGGUUACAAGGUCAAGCUGCCAAGGACAUAAGACAAGAUGGAGACCUGCAGCACAGUUCGUUACUGACCAGUUUGCGGGGCUGGCUUGAACAGUGGGCUCAUGGGGUACUAGGCCAUGCUCUAUCCUCAGGUAUUCCUCCUUAUGACAGAACCAUGCAGAAAGACACACAAAGUACACCAGAUUGGCUGCAGCUUAAGAUUAGCCUCACAAAUCCUUUUUUUCCAUGCAUCAAAAUCUUACAGAGGAUAUAAACAGUGAUUUUCUCAUUCAUUCAACUGGUUUGCACAGGGAGAGGGAGACCAGAAGUCUGACUGGUAAGAAAUCUUUACCCUUUUGCUGGCAUUUCAGGCUUCUGAGUUCCCUUCACCCAAGCUCAAUUUUAAGCCAAGCAUUUUAAGGGUUGGGGAAAUUAACUCUUCCCAGUUUGGGGGACACAUCCAAGGGGAAUGUCCUAUGUUAGGUACAGGGACACAAUUACCCAUCCCCAAAGAGAGGACAGAGGAGGAAAAAGCAGAAAGAAGGCAUUUUUUUUUUCCAAAAGAAUCACAGUGAUUCAGGAGGCAUUUCAGAGAAGUACAGACUGAAGAAGAUUGGUUACCCAUCUCGAAAGAGGGGAAGAAAGUGUCCCUAGUUACUUUCUCUUCCCAGUGAAUACUCAGGGUAUGUGAGGGAGAGAAAGAAGAGGCAUCUCCAUUUGUUUUUUGGGUCCUUACAUCCCUGAGUCCCAGUGACCUUGGCAGGGUGCUGCCCAUGGGUGCCAAUGAGGCUUUCACCCAUGUUAACAGGGGGUGCCUAGGGGAUGGGAAUUAUCUGCAUUUGCCCACAUGCUGCCUGUCCCCCAUGCUAUCAGUAACCUUUGGGUUCCCCAGACCUCAUUUAUGGCAUGGAUACUAGCAUGACCUCUAUCCUUGAAAUAAGGGGGACUUAAUCAGCAGGAAUUAGUCAGUCACGCUCACCUGUGCUGUGCCCCUUGACUUCCAUUGUCAUCUGCCUCUGGAUCCCUCAGAUCCCGUUUUCCUUACUAGGGCUUCAGUCUGAAGCUUGGAAUUGAGUUUGAGACAAAAAGCUGCCUCAGGAGGGUUUAUGGACUCAUCAAGUCCCAGGUGGUCCUCACCAGACUGCAGCCAGCAGCCAACAGCCAACAGGGUCGCUCCUCUGCUGCUUCCUUAUCUGGUGGAACUGCUACACACAAAUUACACUGUUAACUCCUCACCGUCAGCCUCCGAGACCAUGAUCAUUCUCCCUCCUGAAACAAUGAAAGCAUGGCUUUGAGAAGAGGCGUACCACCUGAGGUUCUGUGGCCAGGACAUGGCAGACUGGGACUAGAGCUGGACAUUUUGCCCCAAGGUGAUGGAUCCCAUCCUGAGCCUUAUACACUUGAGGAAUUUUCUCUACCUUCCUCACACAGAAGCCACUUGCUCACUUGUGUUCCAUCUUGUGUGCUUGAGCUGACAUGUGCAUACACCACCUGUUAUGGGCUGAAGUGUGUCCCUGCCCCAAAUUUAGAUGUUGAAGUCCUCACUCUCAGCACCUUAGAACCUAACCAUGUUUGAAGAAAAAAUCUUCUGAGAGGUAAUUAAGCUACAAUGAAGGCUUCAGGGUGGGCCUUAAUCCAAUGUGACUGGUGUGCUUAUAAGAAGAGGAAAUUUGGACCCAUGGAAAGACAACAGAAGCAUACACAGACAGAGGGACACCGCGUGAAGACACUGUGAAAAGGUGGCCAUCUGCAAGCCAUGGGGAGAAGCCUUGAGAGAAACUAGCCCUGCCAAUGCCUUGAUUUUGGACUGCUAGCCUCUAUAACUGUGAGAAAAUAAAUCUCUGUUGUUUAA
rnacentral:lncRNA from 1 species